CCCUUAGAUGUUCGGAGCUGCACGCGCGCUACACUGAAGGAAGCAGCGUGUUAGAGCGCCUGGCUUGAAAGAGCUGGGUAAUCCGGUGAAUGUCCUUCGUGAUUGGGAUAGGGACUUGUAAUUAUUUCCCUUGAACGAGGAAUACCUAGUAAGUGCGAGUCAUCAGCUUGCGCUGACUACGUCCCUGCCCCUUGUACACACCGCCCGUCGCACCUACCGAUUGGAUGGUCCGGUGAAGCCUCGGGAUUGUGGUUCUUGCCGCUUUAUUGUGGCGUGACCGCGAGAACUUGUCUAAACCUUAUCAUCUAGAGGAAGGUGAAGUCGUAACA
rnacentral:rRNA from 1 species